GGAGUUGUAGCUCAGUGGUAGAGAGCUUGCCUCACAUGUAUGAGGCACUGAGUUUGAUCCUCAGCACUACA
rnacentral:tRNA from 1 species